rnacentral:lncRNA from 1 species
AUUUUCUUUUGUAUUAAGGCUGAAUAAUAUUUCACUGUUUAUAUAUAGCACAUUUUCAUUAUUCAUUAUUUCAUUAUCCAUUAUUCGUUAUUAUCCAUCUGUUAAUGAACAUGUAGGUUGAUUCCAUGUUAUGAAUGAUGAUGUAAUGAAUAUGGGAUUGUAAAUAUCUCAUCAACAUACUGAAUGCAUACCCCCUGGAUUUGUAUCCAGUAGUAGAAUUUCUGUCAUAUGAUGAUUCUAUUUUUAAUUUUUUGAGAAACUUCCAUACUAUUUGCCAUAAUGACCAUACUUGUUUGCAUUUCCUCCAACAGUGUGCCAGAGCUCCCUUUACUGAACAUUCUUGCCAACACUUGUCAUCUUUUCUCUUUUUGACAACAGUCAUUCUAAAAGACAGGAGAUGUUUAUUGUGAUUUUAAUUUAUAUUUCUCUCAUAACUAGUGAUGGUGAAUAUUUUUCAUAUACCCAUUGGCCAUUUAUAUCUCCUCUUUGGGGAAAUGUCUGUUUGAGUGAGAACUCAGCCCAUUUUUAAACUGGAUAUCUUAUAUUCUUGCUAUUGAGUUGUUUCAGUUCCUUUUACAUUUUGAAUAUAACCCCUUAUGGAAUAAAUGGUUUGCAAACAUUAUGACCCAUUCAGUAGUUUGUAUCUUCACUUAAAUGAUUGUUUCCUUUUUUAUAUAAAAGCUUUUUAGUUGAUGCAAUCUGAUAUAUUCUGGCUUUUAUUGUUUAUGCUUUUGUACUCAUAUCUAAAAUAUUAUUGCCCAGACCAAUGUCAUGGAGAUUUCCCCCUAUGUUUUUGUUAUGUUUUAGAUAUGUGAUGUCCUCAAAAGCUCAUGUGUGAGACAAUGCAAGAAUGUUUAGAGUUGUAAUGAUGAGGUGAUGUUGCCUAAUCAGUGGAUUCAUAAACUCAUAUGGACUAAGUGAGUGGUCGCUAUAGGCAGAUGGUAGUGGCUGCAAAAGGGGUCAUAAUUUUGGGGUUUAUAUUUUGUCCCUGGUAGCCGGAGCAUUCUCU